UACGGAGGGAGCUAGCGUUGUUCGGAAUUACUGGGCGUAGAGCGCGCGUAGGCGGCUUUGUAAGUUAGAGGUGAAAGCCCGGAGCUCAACUCCGGAACUGCCUUUAAGACUGCAUCGCUUGAAUCCGGGAGAGGUGAGUGGAAUUCCUGGUGUAGCGGUGAAAUGCGCAGAUAUCAGGAAGAACACCAAUGGCGAAGGCAGCUCUCUGGGACGGUACUGACGCUGAGACGCGAAAGCGUGGGGAGCGAACAGG
rnacentral:rRNA from 1 species